rnacentral:rRNA from 1 species
AUUGAACGCUGGCGGCAUGCUUUACACAUGCAAGUCGAACGGCAGCGCGGGGGCAACCCUGGCGGCGAGUGGCGAACGGGUGAGUAAUGCAUCGGAACGUAUCCUGUAAUGGGGGGAUAACGUAGCGAAAGUUACGCUAAUACCGCAUACGCUCGAGAGAGGAAAGUGGGGGAUCGCAAGACCUCACGUUAUAGGAGCGGCCGAUGUCCGAUUAGCUAGUUGGUGGGGUAAAGGCCUACCAAGGCGACGAUCGGUAGCUGGUCUGAGAGGAUGAUCAGCCACACUGGGACUGAGACACGGCCCAGACUCCUACGGGAGGCAGCAGUGGGGAAUUUUGGACAAUGGGCGAAAGCCUGAUCCAGCCAUGCCGCGUGCGGGAAGAAGGGCCCUUCGGGUUGGUUAAACCGGACC